UACGGAGGGAGCUAGCGUUGUUCGGAAUUACUGGGCGUAAAGCGUGCGCAGGCGGUUGUGCAAGUCCGAUGUGAAAUCCCCGGGCUUAACCUGGGAAUGGCAUUGGUGACUGCACGGCUAGAGUGUGUCAGAGGGGGGUAGAAUUCCACGUGUAGCAGUGAAAUGCGUAGAGAUGUGGAGGAAUACCGAUGGCGAAGGCAGCCCCCUGGGAUAACACUGACGCUCAUGCACGAAAGCGUGGGGAGCAAACAGG
rnacentral:rRNA from 1 species